GAUGAACGCUGGCGGCGUGCCUAAUACAUGCAAGUCGAGCGAACAGACGAGGAGCUUGCUCCUCUGACGUUAGCGGCGGACGGGUGAGUAACACGUGGAUACCCUACCUAUAAGACUGGGAUAACUUCGGGAAACCGGAGCUAAUACCGGAUAAUAUAUUGAACCGCAUGGUUCAAUAGUGAAAGACGGUUUUGCUGUCACUUAUAGAUGGAUCCGCGCCGCAUUAGCUAGUUGGUAAGGUAACGGCUUACCAAGGCAACGAUGCGUAGCCGACCUGGGAGGGUGAUCGGCCACACUGGAACUGAGACACGGUCCAGACUCCUACGGGAGGCAGCAGUAGGGAAUCUUCCGCAAUGGGCGAAAGCUUGACGGAGCAACGCCGCGUGAGUGAUGAAGGUCUUCGGAUCGUAAAACUCUGUUAUUAGGGAAGAACAAAUGUGUAAGUAACUAUGCACGUCUUGACGGUACCUAAUCAGAAAGCCACGGCUAACUACGUG
rnacentral:rRNA from 1 species